rnacentral:rRNA from 1 species
GAUGAACGCUGGCGGCGUGCUUAACACAUGCAAGUCGAACGAAGAGAGAGGAGCUUGCUUCUCUGGACUAGUGGCGAACGGGUGAGUAACACGUGAGCAAUCUGCCCCUGACUCAGGGGUAACUCCGGGAAACUGUAGCUAAUACCGGAUAUGAGCUGAUGAGCCAUCUGGUUCGGUGGGAAAGAACUGCGGUGUGGGAUCAGCUCGCGGCAUAUCAGCUUGUUUGUGUGGUAACGGAUGACCAAGGCGACGACGGGUAGGCGGCCUGAGAGGGGGACCGGCCACAUGGGUACUGAGACACGGCCCAGAAGCCUACGGGAGGCAGCAGGGGGGAAUAUUGCACAAUGGGCGCAAGUCUGAUGCAGCAACGCCGCGUGAGGGAUGACGGCCUACGGGUUGUAAACAUCUGUGAGCAGAGAAGAAGAGAAAGUGACGGUACCUGCAGAAAAAGCGCCGGCUAACUACGUG